CAGGGAGAGAAGGUAUCCAAUAAUCUGGGUCUAACUCGCUGAGAACUGUCAAGAUGAACACCAUGACCUUGAAGUGGAUCUGGUAUUUAACAAGGAGCCAGAAUGCUACAUGAUGCACUGGAGUGACAGGGUCACACAUCAGUGUCGCUGAUUCAAUCGGCUGCUGAGCUCAAGACCCCCAGUGUUUUGGGGGGUGAUUUGUGUACUUGUUUGUUGGUGUGGUGUUUUUGAGCAGUCUAGACCAGCAGUAUAAUAAAUUGUUUGCUCUAUAUUUUUGAAUUUCUUUAGGCUUCCAAGGAGAAAGUACAGAAAAGUUGGCUUCAGACAGAGUUACUCCACUGCUUUGAAACAGAAGUGGCUGCAUCCUGUGAUCUCGUGGAAGGCUGAGGGCUUCCUGCUAUCAAGAGAGACGUGGCGUGCAGCUUGACAGAAGCUGAAAUGGAUCUGAGAAAUGAGAUGCUGUAAAAGACAAUCCAGAAUUUUUAAGGUUGAUGUGCUUGCAUGUCUAUGAGAAGAAUAUGUCAUAGAAAAGGAGACUUUAAGCCACACUUGCUAGGAUUUGAGCCUGCUAUCUAAGCAGGAUUUGCUACAGCAGAAGCAGGCAAUGAAGGAAGAUAUGUGUCUACAAGGAACAACUGAAUACCUUUCAAGCUCCUGAUGUCAGAC
rnacentral:lncRNA from 1 species